rnacentral:rRNA from 1 species
GUGGGGAAUCUUCCGCAAUGGACGAAAGUCUGACGGAGCAACGCCGCGUGAGUGAAGAAGGUUUUCGGAUCGUAAAGCUCUUUCGUUAGGGACGAACGUGCUCUUUGUGAAUAAUGAGGAGUAAUGACGGUACCUAAAUAAGAAGCCACGGCUAACUACGUGCCAGCAGCCGCGGUAAUACGUAGGUGACAAGCGUUGUCCGGAAUUAUUGGGCGUAAAGCGCGCGCAGGCGGGAUAUCAAGUCUGUCUUAAAAGUGCGAGGCUCAACCUCGUGAGGGGACAGAAACUGGUAUUCUUGAGUGUCGGAGAGGAAAGUGGAAUUCCAAGUGUAGCGGUGAAAUGCGUAGAGAUUUGGAAGAACACCAGUGGCGAAGGCGACUUUCUGGACGAUGUCUGACGCUGAGGCGCGAAAGCUAGGGGAGCGAACGGGAUUAGAAACCCUAGUAGUCC